CUGCUGGCUUCAGCAGUACAUAUACAAAAAAAAAAAAAACAUAACAACACAAUUGAGAAGAUUAGCAUGGUCCCUGAGCAAGGAUGACAUGCAAAUUCUUGACACAUUCCUUAUUUUU
ensembl:snRNA Gm23316 predicted gene, 23316